AAUAAUAAUAAUAAUAAUAAUAAAUAUAGCUGCAAGCAGCAAUAACGGGGCCAAGCACUACAGAAGCAAGCUUCAGACGAACGGCAGGAAUGAGUAAUUAAGACAGUUUUAAGAUUAUUUUAGGCAAAAUGGCUUGAAAACAAUAAACACAACAACUAGUAAUAGGAUUUAUUGGCUUAUCACGUGUAACCAAUAGGUGGCGCUGUUACCAAAUUAGUUUGGAAUGGUCAGUGUGAGGUGACGAUGACACAUACAAAGUUUGGUGCAAAUAUGUCAAAGCUUUGCAGAGAUACAGCCUCAAAUGCAUUUUGGCACCCUUCCAGCAGUUUCGUUGAUGCGCUAAAUGAGAACCGCUUCGUAUAUCGAUACGAAAUCUAUAACAUUUUGCCAGGAUGGUCUGAAGAUGAUCCACGUCAAAUUUGGUGAAAAUCAGACAAACGGUCUAGGAGGAGUUCGAAAAAGUAGGUUUUCAACAUUCAUCAAAAUGGCGGACAGGAAGUUCAGCCAAAUAAAAAGAACUUUAUAUCUAUUUUCUCGGCGUGACCCAAGGAGUCUAAGAAGACCAGCAUCAUGUCAAUACCCAGAUUUAUUCAAAAGUUAUUAGCCUUUAUGUAAAUUGAGUUAUAACUUUUGACCACUAGGUGGCGCUGUUUCAAAAUAUUUUGAGUACCUUCAGGGGAUGGUGUUGUUGACACAUUCUGAGUUUCGUAAUAUUACACUAAUGCAUUUGUUUAGUAUAGCAUUUUAUUUCACAAAACUGUAUUGAAGUCAAUGAGAAUUUCAUGUUUUGUUCUAUUAUAGCGCCACCAAGAGGCUCAGUCCCACCAUUUUUUUUAUGUUUGCUCAGAGUGAGCCCAUACAUAUGUGUGUCAAUUUUGGUGAAAAUAUCUCAAUUCACUUCAGAGUUAUGGGCAUUUAUAUGAAAAAGCAUGUAAAAAUUGACUGACUCUUGACUUUGAUUGAAUAUUACUACCCCUUACUAUCAAUAUUUUGGCAUUUGGGCAUUGGCGUAUAGCUAUCGACCUAUGUUUCCGAACUUCUGACGGUGGUUUCGUCUCGAUCAGACAAGCGGUUUCAAAGAUAUAGCCAGAUGUUUUUUAAGCGCUAAAUCACAACGCUACACAAACCGUAAGGCAAAACCUAGCAUGUUUGGUAUUGUAGGACUCUGUAAGGUUUCAGGAGUCCAAUUUGAUGAGUCUGGUGAAAAUACGUCGACCACACCCAAAGUUAUAAGCAUUUAAAAAUAGAAGAUCACCACUAGGUGGCGCUGUUUCGAAACUUCUCAUACUCCUUCAGGACAUUGUGCUGAUGACCCAUACCAUGUUUCGUAACAAUCCGUUGAUGUGUUCAGAAAAUACAGCAUUUUAGCACAAAAUUCAAAAUGGCCGACAGUCAAAAUGGCCAAAAUGGUCAAAUUGGAUAUCAGUCGACUCGGCAUGUUGCCCUGAAUCUAACAAGACCAAUGUUAUGAUUUUUGGACAAACUGUUCAGAAGUUAUAAGCAAAAAUAGCAGUUUUUCAUAUCUCCGGAUCAGUAGGUGGCGCUGCACCCAAUCACAGCAUGUUGCCUCAGGUCAUGCUUGUUAUGACAUGUACCAAGUUUGGUCUGAAUAGGAUAAGUCGUUGCCGAGAUACAGCCUUACAACUGUUUUUGUAAGCACUACAUAAAAUUUGUUAGAGCGUUUAUCGAAAACGGUUUGACGAAUCAAUUUGAUUUGCAUAACUUUUGGUCAGCACUGCCUGAGGAUGAUAUGGUUUAAUUUUCGUGUGAAUCGGACAAACCGUCUAGGACGAGUUCGAAAAAGUAGGUUUUUAAAGAAAUUCAAAAUGGCGGUCAUAUUUCUAUGACGGAAAUGACUUCGUAGGGUGCAAUCGAAUCGGCAUGAGCUCAGAAAUCAGAAGAAAAAAGAAUUUCGUUGAUUGGCCUUAGGGUUAAAAAGUUAUUAACAAAAUUAAAGUGAAAUUUUGGACAGUUGGUGGCGCUAGAGGGAUUGACUUAGACACACCAAAAUUGGUGUACUUAAUGUUGGCACUGUCCUCUAUCAGAAUGUCAAACCAUUACAACUUUCCCGCAUUCGGUUCUAUGGGCUGCCAUAGACGCCCAGUCGGAAGAAUAAUAAUAAUAAAUAUAGCUGCAAGCAGCAAUCACGGGGCCAAGCAUUCCAGCGGCAACAUCAGGAGCUAAGCAUAUGUAGCAUCAGACCAAAUGCA